GCUCAGGAUGAACGCUGGCGGCGUGCCUAAUACAUGCAAGUCGAACGAAACUUCUUUAUCACCGAGUGCUUGCACUCACCGAUAAAGAGUUGAGUGGCGAACGGGUGAGUAACACGUGGGCAACCUGCCCAAAAGAGGGGGAUAACACUUGGAAACAGGUGCUAAUACCGCAUAACCAUAGUUACCGCAUGGUAACUAUGUAAAAGGUGGCUAUGCUACCGCUUUUGGAUGGGCCCGCGGCGCAUUAGCUAGUUGGUGAGGUAAAGGCUUACCAAGGCAAUGAUGCGUAGCCGAACUGAGAGGUUGAUCGGCCACAUUGGGACUGAGACACGGCCCAAACUCCUACGGGAGGCAGCAGUAGGGAAUCUUCCACAAUGGGCGAAAGCCUGAUGGAGCAACGCCGCGUGGGUGAAGAAGGUCUUCGGAUCGUAAAACCCUGUUGUUAGAGAAGAAAGUGCGUGAGAGUAACUGUUCACGUUUCGACGGUAUCUAACCAGAAAGCCACGGCUAACUACGUGCCAGCAGCCGCGGUAAUACGUAGGUGGCAAGCGUUAUCCGGAUUUAUUGGGCGUAAAGGGAACGCAGGCGGUCUUUUAAGUCUGAUGUGAAAGCCUUCGGCUUAACCGGAGUAGUGCAUUGGAAACUGGGAGACUUGAGUGCAGAAGAGGAGAGUGGAACUCCAUGUGUAGCGGUGAAAUGCGUAGAUAUAUGGAAGAACACCAGUGGCGAAAGCGGCUCUCUGGUCUGUAACUGACGCUGAGGUUCGAAAGCGUGGGUAGCAAACAGGAUUAGAUACCCUGGUAGUCCACGCCGUAAACGAUGAAUGCUAAGUGUUGGAGGGUUUCCGCCCUUCAGUGCUGCAGCUAACGCAAUAAGCAUUCCGCCUGGGGAGUACGACCGCAAGGUUGAAACUCAAAGGAAUUGACGGGGGCCCGCACAAGCGGUGGAGCAUGUGGUUUAAUUCGAAGCAACGCGAAGAACCUUACCAGGUCUUGACAUCUUCUGACAAUCCUAGAGAUAGGACUUUCCCUUCGGGGACAGAAUGACAGGUGGUGCAUGGUUGUCGUCAGCUCGUGUCGUGAGAUGUUGGGUUAAGUCCCGCAACGAGCGCAACCCUUAUUGUUAGUUGCCAGCAUUAAGUUGGGCACUCUAGCAAGACUGCCGGUGACAAACCGGAGGAAGGUGGGGAUGACGUCAAAUCAUCAUGCCCCUUAUGACCUGGGCUACACACGUGCUACAAUGGACGGUACAACGAGUCGCAAGACCGCGAGGUUUAGCAAAUCUCUUAAAGCCGUUCUCAGUUCGGAUUGUAGGCUGCAACUCGCCUACAUGAAGUCGGAAUCGCUAGUAAUCGCGGAUCAGCAUGCCGCGGUGAAUACGUUCCCGGGCCUUGUACACACCGCCCGUCACACCAUGAGAGUUUGUAACACCCAAAGCCGGUGGGGUAACCUUUUGGAGCCAGCCGUCUAAGGUGGGACAGAUGAUUGGGGUGAAGUCG
rnacentral:rRNA from 2 species